rnacentral:rRNA from 1 species
UACAGAGGGGGCAAGCGUUGUUCGGAAUUACUGGGCGUAAAGGGCGCGUAGGCGGCCGUCUAAGUCGAACGUGAAAUCCCCGGGCUCAACCCGGGAACUGCGUCCGAUACUGGAAGGCUUGAAUCCGGGAGAGGGAUGCGGAAUUCCAGGUGUAGCGGUGAAAUGCGUAGAUAUCUGGAGGAACACCGGUGGCGAAGGCGGCAUCCUGGACCGGCAUUGACGCUGAGGCGCGAAAGCCAGGGGAGCAAACGGG